rnacentral:lncRNA from 1 species
GAUUGUACCUUUAUCUCACUCCAAAUUUUUUCUUUGGACUCAUUCAGCUCUUUGUUUCUCCAAUCAUCACAUGUAAUGGGAAUUUCAUUCCUUACUAGUGCACCGAUAAAACUAGUUAAGGUAUGCCCAUUAGGUUCUAUAAGCUGUCCCUGGUUGUUCCAAUAGACAUCUAGUAUGAUGCCUCGAGAUCUUCCUUGGACCACCCUUCUCAUUACUGUGAUGCCUCUUCGAAUUUCUUCUUCCGCGGAUACUUUUUUACUAACUUCCUCAUGUUGGUCAUCAGCCAUGUCUAACCUGUAAUAAACCAAGGAAACCAUCAAAUAUCAAAUAUAACUUAUAAUCAAAGCAAUUGAAAACAAAAAAAUAAAGAAAUCAUGCAUUAUCAGAUAUAACUUAUAAUCAAAGCAAUUGAAAACAAAAAUAUAAUGAAAUCAUGCAUUAUCACAUAUAACUUAUAAUCAAAACAAUUGAAAAAAAAAAUAAAGAAACCAUGGAUAAUUUACCUAAGUCACUAACAUCUCUUUCUUUUCUUUGUUGGAAUAUUAAUCACUUGUUUCUUAGCAAUGCGUACGGAUGAAUUGAUCCAAAUUCCCUCAUUAUGAUCGUUUCUUAUAUAUGACUCAUCCGGUAUAAGAUCCUCAACUUCAUCAUUUCUAUUCAACUCAUUCCGUCUAAUGCAUGAC